rnacentral:rRNA from 1 species
GACGAACGCUGGCGGCGUGCUUAACACAUGCAAGUCGAACGGAAAGGCCUCUUUCGGGGGGUACUCUAGUGGCGAACGGGUGAGUAACACGUGAGUAACCUGCCCUUGACUUUGGGAUAACUUCAGGAAACUGGGGCUAAUACCGGAUAGGAGCUCCUGCUGCAUGGUGGGGGUUGGAAAGUUUCGGCGGUUGGGGAUGGACUCGCGGCUUAUCAGCUUGUUGGUGGGGUAGUGGCUUACCAAGGCUUUGACGGGUAGCCGGCCUGAGAGGGUGACCGGCCACAUUGGGACUGAGAUACGGCCCAGACUCCUACGGGAGGCAGCAGUGGGGAAUAUUGCACAAUGGGUGGAAGCCUGAUGCAGCAACGCCGUGUGCGGGAUGACGGCCUUCGGGUUGUAAACCGCUUUCGCUCAUGACGAAGCUUUGUGUGACGGUAGUGGGUAAAGAAGCACCGGCUAACUACGUG